CCUCUCUCAGGGUCGCACCAGGAGAGCUUCCAGUACUCUACCAGUCUCAGCUACUGGAGGGAGAGUCAAGCAGAGGGCUACCCCUUCCAUUCCUAGCUUGGCCAGUGGCUAGCGAGUGGAAAGCAAUCUGCUACAAGU
rnacentral:snoRNA from 1 species